rnacentral:rRNA from 1 species
UACUCCUACGGGAGGCAGCAGUAGGGAAUCUUCGGCAAUGGGGGCAACCCUGACCGAGCAACGCCGCGUGAGUGAAGAAGGUUUUCGGAUCGUAAAGCUCUGUUGUAAGAGAAGAACGAGUGUGAGAGUGGAAAGUUCACACUGUGACGGUAACUUACCAGAAAGGGACGGCUAACUACGUGCCAGCAGCCGCGGUAAUACGUAGGUCCCGAGCGUUAUCCGGAUUUAUUGGGCGUAAAGCGAGCGCAGGCGGUUAGAUAAGUCUGAAGUUAAAGGCUGUGGCUUAACCAUAGUACGCUUUGGAAACUGUUUAACUUGAGUGCAGAAGGGGAGAGUGGAAUUCCAUGUGUAGCGGUGAAAUGCGUAGAUAUAUGGAGGAACACCGGUGGCGAAAGCGGCUCUCUGGUCUGUAACUGACGCUGAGGCUCGAAAGCGUGGGGAGCAAACAGGAUUAGAUACCCUGGUAGUCCACGCCGUAAACGAUGAGUGCUAGGUGUUGGGUCCUUUCCGGGAUUCAGUGCCGCAGCUAACGCAUUAAGCACUCCGCCUGGGGAGUACGACCGCAAGGUUGAAACUCAAAGGAAUUGACGGA